AUGCAGAGAUCUCUCGCUGUUGGCAUUAAGUCUGAGAACAAUGGCAAGCGGGAUUACACUGGAACUGGUACUGUUCCAUCCUUGCAUAAGCAAGAUAGCAAGAUACUGACCAAAAAGACCAUAAAGUUGUUGGAUGCACCACCUUGUCCAAAAAGGCCAAAGCUAGAGCCAACUCAAACCACUAGAGGUGCUGAAGCUAAGGGCCAUGAAUCGCUGCCACAUAAGAUUGUUCCUGAAAUGGUACGAUGCACAACAUCUGAAAAAUCUGGGUUGCUAAAGCAGAGGCGCAUUUCUGAUGCGAAGAGAAUUGACAAGAAGAAUGCUAGGUCUGGUGUCAGAUCUAAAUAUGAUUGUUUCACAUUAAAGUCUGGUUUAGGAAAUCAUGAUUCCAGUUUCAUGGGAAAUGGCAUGCUUGGUAUGUAUUAA
rnacentral:rRNA from 1 species